CAUCGCCUUCCGUCCAGCGUGGCAGCCCCUACUUGUCUUCCUCUCUGUCUCGUCACACCUCUCCCUCUCUACACUCCCACACACUUACAACUCUCUCUGCAGCGGUGGUCCGACCGAUUCCGCCACCACCGUCGCCUUUUUCCGGUAGCUAUAAGCUGGAAUUGUCUCCCUUUUUCCGAAAUUCUUCCCCGAGAGAUAGCAUGAGCAUCGAGAAGGCAAAGGAUAAACUGAUUCCAGUAAGGCAUUCUCGGUUUUGAGCAAUGGAGAAUUCCAAUGGCACAAAAACUCUGGGGAGAAGGAAAAUCCCAAUGAGGAAAAUCGUGAAUAAAUCAAGCCUGCAAGUCGCCUUCAC